AGAGAGCCCUCUACAGGGACGUCAUGCAGGAGAACUACGAGACGGUGACCUCGCUGGAUACAGACUAACACGGCUAUCCCCUGAUACUUGACUCCCUGCACAGGAUUCCCCAUUCUGAAACCUGACCUGAUCACCCAGCUGGAACAAGGGAAACAGCCGUGGGUGCCCGAUCUCCAGGCCUGUGAGGGAAGAGAGAUUCCAAGAGGCACCCACACAGCAGGUGAUGAGAGAGAGAGUGAGAAUAAGGAUGGGAAUCGACAGCAGGAAGUUUCUGGGCAUGGGGAACCACAGGGGACCUUUGUGGGAAGAGCUGAAGAGAAAUUUUUCCAGUGCUUGGAACAGGGAGAAGCCUGGGGAAAUUGGCAGAGGUCAAAGAGUCUGCUGGGAAACAACUCAAGGGAGCAAAUGGAUGAAUUUGUUAUAUAUGGAAAAGGACACAGGAAUACCACAGCCAGGAAGACAACCCCCAAGGAAGACAAUGAAUACCUCGGUUCUGUUACGCUUCAGGCAAUAAAUACUGGAGAGAAAACACUUCAAUGGUUGGACUGUGGGAAAAACUUCAAUAAGUGCUCAGAUCUUGCUAACCAUGGGAGAAGCCACCUGGGGGAGAGACCCUCUCGGUACCUGGAGGGCAGGAAUUGUUUGAUUUGGAAGUCAGCGCUGAUUACACAUCAAAAAAUCCACACAGGCGACAGACCACAUAAGUGCUUAGACUGUGGGAAAAGUUUCACCUGGAGAUCAGCCCUUGUUAGACAUCAGGCAAUCCACACCGGCGAGAGACCCCAUAAGUGUUUGGACUGUGGGAAAAGUUUCAUACGGAGGUCAGCCCUUGUUAAUCAUCAGGCAGUGCACACCAGAGAGAGACCCCACAAGUGCUUAGACUGUGGAAAAAGUUUCCUGCAGAGAUCACACCUUCUUAUACAUCAGAGAAUACACACUGGAGAGAUACCCCAUAAGUGCUUGGACUGUGGGAAAAGUUUCCUAUGGAGGUCAGCCCUUAUUAAUCAUCAGGCAGUGCACACAGGAGAGAGAACCCACAAGUGCUUAGACUGUGGAAAAAGUUUCACAUGGAGAUCAGCCUUUGUUAGACAUCUGGCAAUCCACACCGGAGAGAGACCCCAUAAGUGCCUGGACUGUGGGAAAAGUUUCAUACGGAGGUCAGCCCUUGUUAAUCAUCAGGCAGUGCACACCAGAGAGGGACCCCACAAUUGCUUAGACUGUGGGAAAAGUUUCAGAUGGAGGUCAGUGUUUGUUAAACAUCAAGCAAUCCAUAAAACAGGGAAACCAUAAGACCCUGGGAAAGGUUUCAGAAACAGAUCAGCCCUUCUAAACAUCAGGCAAUCCACGCACGAGAGGGACCCCCACAAGUGCAUAAACUAUAGAAAAAUGUUUCAAAUAGAUGUCAUCCCUUGUUAUACAUCAGAGAAUCCACACAGAGGAGUGACCCCAUAACUGUUUAGCCUGUGAAAGAUGUUUUAAAUGGAGGUCAAAACUUAUUUCAAAUCGGGCAAUCCACACAGGAGAGUGACCCCAUAAGUGUUUGGACCAUGUGAAAAGUUUCACAGAAAGAUCAAAUCUUAUAACACUCAGAGGAUCCACACAGGGGAGAGACCCCAUCAGAGUUCAGACUGGAAAAAGUUUCCUACAUGGGUCAGACUUUGUUAAAAAUCAGCUAAUCCACACAGGAGAGAUCCCAUAAGUGCUUAGGCUGUGGGGGAAAUUUUAUAUGGAGUUCAGGCCAUGUUUUACAUCAGAGAAUCCACACAGGAGACCCCAUAAGUCCUUAGACUAUGGAGAAUGUUUCAUACCCUGAUCAAGUACUUGGACCUUGGGAAAGGUUUCAGAAACACCUCAGCCCUACAGAACAUCAGCCAAUCCACACAGGAGAGAGAUCCCAUAACUGUUUAGACUGUGGAAAAAGUUUCUUAUGCAGGUCAGACCUUGCUAAAAAUCAGGCAGUCCACACAGAAGCGAGCCCCCAGAAGUGCUUGGACUGUGGGAAAAGUUUCAUACAGCGGUCAGACCUUGUUAAACAUCAGGCAAUCCACACCAAAGAGAGACCCCAUAAGCACUUAAACUAUGGAAAACAUAGCAGAAACUGAUCAGCCCUUGUUUUACAUCAGAGAAUCCACAAGACUGCAUAAGUGCUUGGACUGUGGCGAAAGUUAUACACAGAGAUCACACCUCAUUAAACAUUGGAGAAUUCACACACGAUCUAAACUUCUGUGGCACCUGGCUUGAAAGAGUUAAGAACCUUGCAUGCUAAUUGACCAGCUCCAACCUUUUGAAACGUGUUAGAAAUGUGUGUAAAUGUAUUUGGGGCCAUUCCAAGAAACAGAGCCUAGAACUUUGAAAUGUAAACUGGUGUUGUUAAAAAAUUGGAAGAAGAUAGUAGUGCUGUUGAUUAAUUGCAUUUAAGUCGCGUGAUUAACUCAAAAGAAUUCAUUGUGAUUAGAAAAAUUAAUCUCGAUGAAUCACAUUGUUAAACAGUAGAAUACCAAUUGGAAUUUGUUAAAUGUUUUUGGAUGUUUUUCUACGUUUUCUUAUAUAUUGAUUUCCAUCACAACAAAGAAGAGAAAGUGUACAGUGCUCACUUUAUAUUAUUUUUUAUUACAAAUAUUUGUACUGUAAACAUGCAAAAUAGAAGUAGUAUUUUUCAGUUCACCUCAUACAGGUGCUGUAGUGCAAUCUCUUUAUCAGGGAAGUGUAACUUAGAAACAUCGAUUAUUUUAAUGAUAUAAGUGCACUCAAAAAUAAAGCAAUUAAAAACCAUAUAGCCUAGAAGUCAACUCAGUGCUACUUCUUUCUCUGCCACUCGCUAGGACAAACAAGUUUGUUUACAUUUACGAGAGAGAAUGCUGCUUUGUUUCUAAUUUAUGAUGUCAUCCGAAAGUGUGAGAAGGUGUUUGCCUGGCACGUUUGUAGCUGGCAAUACAAGGUAUUUAUGUGCAAGAUAUGCUAAACAUCCAUAUGUCCCUUCGUGGUUUGGCCACGAUUCAAGUGGACAUGCUUCCACGCUGACAAUGGUCAUUUUUAAAAAAAUGCAUUAAUUCAAUUUGCGACUGAACUCCUUGAAGGAGAAUUGUAUGUCCCCUGUUCUGUUUUACAAACCUUCUGCUGGUGGCAUCUGACUCAGUUGAUGAAAAUGAGCAUGUGUCGGUCUGGUCUGCUUUGGAUUGUUAUCGAUUAGAACCCGUCAUUAGCAUGGAUACAUGUCCUCUGGAAUGGUGGUUGAAGCAUGAAGGGAUCUAUGACUUUUUAGAGCAUCGGGCACAUAAAUAUCUUGUGACACCGGCUGCAGUAGUGCAAUGAGAAUGCCUGUUCUCACUUUCAGGUAACAUUGU